GAUGAACGCUAGCGGCAGGCCUAACACAUGCAAGUCAGGGGUAACAUAGAAAAGCUUGCUUUUCUGAUGACGACCGGCGCACGGGUGCGUAACGCGUAUACAACCUACCUUUUAGCGGGGAAUAGCCCAGGGAAACUUGGAUUAAUGCCUCAUAGUAUAUAAGCUUCUCCUGAAGUUUAUAUUAAACAUUUAUGGCUAUUAGAUGGGUAUGCGUCCUAUUAGUUAGUUGGUAAGGUAACGGCUUACCAAGGCAGCGAUAGGUAGGGGUCCUGAGAGGGAGAUCCCCACACUGGUACUGAGACACGGACCAGACUCCUACGGGAGGCAGCAGUGAGGAAUAUUGGACAAUGGGCGAGAGCCUGAUCCAGCCAUGCCGCGUGCAGGAAGACUGCCCUAUGGGUUGUAAACUGCUUUUACAGAGGAAGAACCACCCCCACGUGUGGGGGUUUGACGGUACUCUGCGAAUAAGGAUCGGCUAACUCCGUG
rnacentral:rRNA from 1 species